UUAGCUAACUAGUUGAAUCUGGUUACUGUGAUCAGGAAGGUGGUUCUCCCAGGACGAGGCUAGCCCAUUGCACUUCGGGUGUGCUGAUGCCUGCGAUGUCCCCAAAUGCAGGAUACUGGACUGCAAAAUUUGUGGUAGCGGGGGACUGCGUUCACGCAAAA